rnacentral:SRP_RNA from 2 species
GCUGGGCAUGGUGGUGCACGCCUGUAAUCCCAGCUACUCAGGAGGUUGAGGCAGGAGAAUCACUUGAACCUGGGAAACGGAGGUUGCAGUGAGCCGAGAUCCGCCACUGCACUCCAGCCUGGGUGACAGAGUGAGACCCUGUCUCAA